GCAAACUUGGUCAUUUAGAGGAAGUAAAAGUCGUAACAAGGUUUCCGUAGGUGAACCUGCGGAAGGAUCAUUAAUGAAAACUUUCAGGAGUUGCUGCUGGCCUUUCGGAGGUAUUUGUGCACGCUCCGUUAUUUUCAUCCACACACACACCUGUGCACAUUCUGUUCGGGAGGAAGCAAUUCUUCCCGAAUGUACAAUUUACACACUUUUGAAAAAUGUAUAGAACGUUUGUUAUUACAAAAUUUGUAACAACUUUCAACAACGGAUCUCUUGGCUCUCGCAUCGAUGAAGAACGCAGC
rnacentral:misc_RNA from 1 species